GACGGAGGAGGCAAGCGUUAUCCGGAAUUAUUGGGCGUAAAGCGUCCGCAGGCGGCUUUUUAAGUCUGUUGUCAAAGCCCACAGCUCAACUGUGGAUCGGCAAUGGAAACUGGGAGCUAGAGUGUGGUAGGGGUAGAGGGAAUUCCCGGUGUAGUGGUGAAAUGCGCAGAUAUCAGGAGGAACACCGAUGGCGAAGGCAGGUCUCUGGGCCACUACUGACGCUGAGAAGCGAAAGACAUGGGGAGCGAACAGG
rnacentral:rRNA from 1 species